UGAAAACUUUCUGAAGCAGGACACCAGUAAUCCAUUGAUAAUUGAAGAUCAUUUUCAUCUUCUCCGUAUAAUGCAGUGAUAAGUUCCAUGAACUAGAGGAAAAAGCUUGUCAUUAAAAAGCAGUGAUUCCUAAACUCAAAGGAGGAUCUUCCUGUUGCAUGAUAUGAAGCAUUAAUAUCCGAGCAACUUCGUCACCACGGUUACGCAUUUCUUUCACCUGAGAAACAAGUAAAUAAAAGGGAGUUGGAAAAAUGCUUAAAAUAUUUCAUCAGGUCUUACAAAAGCAUGCAACAUUGUCUUACACAAAAAGUAUGUGAGUUUAGCAGCAUAACUAACAAGGCAAGAAUACAAUGAUAUAGUUUUUAUAAAGUCCUGAUAUUUGAAUAUUAAAUAACUCAAAUAUGUACGAUACAUGUGGCAAAAGGCCAAGAAUUACUGAAAGUAAAUUCUAUAUACUAUAGGCAAGCAAGGUGCUAUAAGCCUUAGUAACCUAAGUACUAAUUAAUACAAGAGUCAAAAAGGUUCGAGUAAAAAUUCUUAC